GCACCUGUGGCCGAGUGGUUAGGGCGCGGCCCUGCUAAGGCCGUGGGGUCUCCCCCGCGUGCGUUCGAAUCGCAUCGGGUGCG
rnacentral:tRNA from 1 species